GAGCCCUUCUCUACAGCACCAUUCUCUCUCACAUCACCCUCUUUAAAUUCUUUGCACAUUACUCAUCACGACUGUUGGUAUUUAUUUGCUUCCUAUCUGUCUCCCCCACUGCAAUGUGAGCUUACAGGGAGUCAGGACCUUCUUUUGUCUCAUUCACUGCUGCAUCCCCAGUGAUUAAAGUCCUUCUCAAUUAAGGAAUGAGUGAAUGAGAAAGGCCACACAGGCACCAGUGACAAAAAUGAGCUGACAGGCGAUGCUUCCCUGUAAUUACCUCCAGAAGGAGAAAGGUCCCCUUGAUUCUGGAUAAAUAUAGAACCAAGACUAAGUGAAAUGCUGGGAAAUAAAGCCAUGGGAUUUAGGAAGUUGGUUUCAUGAGACCUGUGAAUUCAUGGAAGACAGGGACGUUCUCAUCCACAUCUUUACAGAAAUUAGAGCAGACUCCAGAACAUGAAUAGAACUCAAUAAAGGAUUGAGCAAACAGA